GACGAACGCUGGCGGCGUGCUUAACACAUGCAAGUCGAACGGAAAGGCCCUGCUUUUGUGGGGUGCUCGAGUGGCGAACGGGUGAGUAACACGUGAGUAACCUGCCCUUGACUUUGGGAUAACUUCAGGAAACUGGGGCUAAUACCGGAUAGGAGCUCCUGCUGCAUGUUGGGGGUUGGAAAGUUUCGGCGGUUGGGGAUGGACUCGCGGCUUAUCAGCUUGUUGGUGGGGUAGUGGCUGACCAAGGCUUUGACGGGUAGCCGGCCUGAGAGGGUGAACGGCCACCAUGGGACUGAGAUACGCACCAGACUGCUAUGGGACGCAGCAGUGGGGAAUCUUGCACAAUGGGCGGAAGCCGGAUGCAGCAACGCCGCGUGCGGGAUGCCGGGCUUCGGGUUGUAAACAGAUUUCGACUGUGCCGAAGAGUGAGUGACGGUACUGGGUAAAGAAGCAACGGCUAACUACGUG
rnacentral:rRNA from 1 species